UAGGGAAUCUUCCACAAUGGACGCAAGUCUGAUGGAGCAACGCCGCGUGAGUGAAGAAGGCUUUCGGGUCGUAAAACUCUGUUAUUGAAGAAGGACGUGUGUGACAGUAACUGGUCAUGCAGUGACGGUAUUCAAUCAGAAAGUCACGGCUAACUACGUGCCAGCAGCCGCGGUAAUACGUAGGUGGCAAGCGUUGUCCGGAUUUAUUGGGCGUAAAGCGAGUGCAGGCGGUCUUUUAAGUCUGAUGUGAAAGCCUUCGGCUUAACCGAAGAAGGGCAUCGGAAACUGGGAGACUUGAGUGCAGAAGAGGAGAGUGGAACUCCAUGUGUAGCGGUGAAAUGCGUAGAUAUAUGGAAGAACACCAGUGGCGAAGGCGGCUCUCUGGUCUGUAACUGACGCUGAGGCUCGAAAGCGUGGGUAGCAAACAGGAUUAGAU
rnacentral:rRNA from 1 species